AUUUAUUUAUUUAUUUUUUACAUCUUUAUUGCAGUAUAAUUGCUUUACAAUGGUGUGUUAGUUUCUGCUUUAUAACAAAGUGAAUCAGUUAUACAUAUACAUAUGUUCCCAUAUCUCUUCCCUCUGCGUCUCCCUCCCUCCCACCCUCCCUAUCCCACCCCUCUAGGUGGUCACAGAGCACCGAGCUGAUCUCCCUGUGCUAUGCGGCUGCUUCCCACUAGCUAUCUACCUUACGUUUGGUAGUGUAUAUAUGUCCAUGCCACUCUCUCACUUUGUCACAGCUUACCCUUCCCCCUCCCCGUGUCCUCAAGUCCGUUCUCUAGUAGGUCUGUGUCUUUAUUCCCGUCUUACCCUUAGGUUCUUCGUGACAUUUUUUUUUUCUUAGAUUCCAUAUAUAUGUGUUAUCAUACGGUAUUUGUCUUUCUCUUUCAGACUUACUUCACUCUGUAUGACAGACUCUAGGUCCAUCCACCUCACUACAAAUAACUCAGUUUCGUUUCUUUUUAUGGCUGAGGAAUAUUCCAUUGUAUAUAUGUGCCACAUCUUCUUUAUCCAUUCAUCUGAUGAUGGACACUUAGGUUGCUUCCAUCUCCUGGCUAUUGUAAAUAGAGCUGCAAUGAACAUUUUGGUACAUGACUCUUUCUGAAUUAUGGUUUUCUCAGGGUAUAUGCCCAGUAGUGGGGUUGCUGGGUCAUAUGGUAGUUCUAUUUGUAGUUUUUUAAGGAACCUCCAUACUGUUCUCCAUACUGUCUGUACCAAUUCACAUUCCCACCAGCAGUGCAAGAGGGUUCCCUUUUCUCCACACCCUCUCCAAACAGAGGAUUAAUCUCCAAAAUUUACAAGCAGCUCAUGCAGCUCAAUAACAAAAAAACAAACAACCCAAUCCAAAAAUGGGCAGAAGACCUAAAUAGACAUUUCUCCAAAGAAGAUAUACAGACUGCCAACAAACCCAUGAAAGAAUGCUCAACAUCAUUAAUCAUUAGAGAAAUGCAAAUCAAAACUACAAUGAGACGCCUCAUCUCUUAAUUAAGGGUUUCAGGCACUCUUCUCACCCUGUCAUAGCCCACGAUGUAGGGAAGCCUGCUGUGCCCUCUCCAAAUCUAUAGAUUCUCUUUCUAGCUGUGUCUGAUGCUUCUCUUUCCCUGGGUCUCUGCAUCCCAGCUCUCCGCUCUCCUUCCUUGGGGCCUUUGAAGGGAUGCUUCUUUCUUCUGGAGCUUAUCCAAACCCGUGCUCAGGUAGGGGCAUCAACUCAAGUAGUUGUGCUCUCCUGUGGCUCUGGGACCUGAGUGGAGGGCCCUUCAGGUGGCCCAGCAAACCUGCUAACAUCCUGGCCGGUUCCAGCACCUGAACCCUGUCUUCUGCAGCUCCAAACCACGCUGGGUUGCAACACACCUCCACAGCCACAUGGGGCCCGCCAGUCAAGACACUAAGAGCUGCCACCACAGCCCAUCUAACUAGCUCUUCGUCUUGCCCGUAGAGCCCACUGCCUCCCUGGAGCCCCCUCCUGGAGUGGUACUCAGCACACCUUAGACCCCAAGUGAUAUUCAGAGUAGAGAGUACAGCAGUCCAGUAUCUUUAUUGCAAGCCCAGGAUGUCCGGAAGAAAGAGGGAAGAGAGAAUUGAAUCGAGCAAGGAACCAGAGCCUGUGCCAUCAACAUCUGGGGAGAGUGAAAUUGCAGCUUGUCCUCUGUCUCUCUUUUUUUUUUUUAAUUUUAUUGGAAAUACAAUUCUGUUUUUUUUAAAUUAA